rnacentral:tRNA from 1 species
GGGGGAGUAGCCCAGUUGGUUAGAGCGCUACGUUGACAUCGUAGAGGCCAGCGGUUCGAGUCCGCUCUCCCCCACCA